rnacentral:rRNA from 1 species
GACAGCAGUAGCCGCGGUAAUACAGAGGGUGCGAGCGUUAAUCGGAUUUACUGGGCGUAAAGCGUGCGUAGGCGGCUUUUUAAGUCGGAUGUGAAAUCCCUGAGCUUAACUUAGGAAUUGCAUUCGAUACUGGGAAGCUAGAGUAUGGGAGAGGAUGGUAGAAUUCCAGGUGUAGCGGUGAAAUGCGUAGAGAUCUGGAGGAAUACCGAUGGCGAAGGCAGCCAUCUGGCCUAAUACUGACGCUGAGGUACGAAAGCAUGGGGAGCAAACAGGAUUAGAUACCCCUGUAGUCCCUGUCUCUUAUAC